UUCAUGAGGCUUCCUUUUUUUCUAAGUUAUAAAAAUGAUCUCAUGGGCUUCCUUUUUUUUAAGUAACGAAGUAUAUUGACGAUUGAGGCCUUCGGAAGGGAGAUUCCCUUAGAACAACGGCAGAAUUUCGGCGAUUCAGGAAUUUGGGACUCCACAACCAAGCUACUCCCAAAUGCUGUUCGAGAAAUCACAUCAGCAGCCAUUUGUUGUAGAUAAGGCAUUACAUCUAGCUCACACGAUCCCUCCUCGGAGACCAUGCUUUCCCAUUUGCCAACCAUCUCGUAGCAGCUAUGAUAGAAUGCUGGUACCAUACCCUGUAAGCCAAUUCAAGGAUUGAUUAUCUUUCUGUGUUAGGCCCAUUUUGCUCCUUCAUGGUUUACAAGUCCACCUGCAAACAACUUGACAAGGGGAUUCAUAGAUGGCUUUUGGAUAUCAUUGAACAAUGCAAAC